UUACUUGCUUUAACAGUAUGCG
rnacentral:miRNA from 10 species